GAGGGGACUCGAUGGAAGGGCACUGUGGCGUACUAGAAAGGGUAGGAAGAGGUUCAUAUCGGAUACGCCAAGGAUGGGAAUUUAUGGAAGACGGAUUGUCAAGUAGGACAUUGACUUUUUCUAUGGCCUUGUUUAAAUCAAAAUUAUCAAUGUUAAAAUGGGCUAAACAUGCUUCCAAAGGGUCAUCUGCCAGAAUAUAGGGAAGGGCUUCUUCUACAAGGUCGUCCAUUUUGUCUAUCCUUUUGUCUACUAGGAAGCACUCAUCUUCUCUUGCAGGGUUGAUCAGAGGCAUGGAAUACAUUCAGUUUGACUUUCAUGUUCCUAAAAGAUAUAUCCAUCACCCGAGUUCUACAGUUAAUACAUGCAUUGGCUAUAGCUAGGAAGGGACGAUCAAGAAUCAUAGGGAUCUGUUUCUUAAGGUUCGGCACAGGUUCCAUAUCAAGGACGAUGAAAUCAACUGGAAAAUAAAAUUUAUCUAUCUUGACUAGGACAUCUUCAAUUGUUCCUCGUGGUAUUUUAACAGAUCGAUCAGCCAAUUGCAGGGACACUGAAGUAGGGUUUAAUUCACCUAAUCCGAACUUCUCGUAGACUGAAUAAGGAAGGAGGUUGUUGCCCAAGGUGACAACCCAAGAGGGGGGGUGAAUUGGGUUUUCUAAAAAUUAUGUUCCCUAAUUUUUACUUUGAAUAGAAUGCAGCGGAAUGAUAAGAUGUUAUUUACUUAAGCUCUAGGCAAUUACAAGUAAAGCAGUGGAAAAUUAAGCUAGAGCAAUUAUACUAUGGCUUUAGGGUGCAAUUGAUCUAAAAUUAACUUAUAGUUUUAUGAUCAAUUUUAAUCUAUGUGUAUGGUAAGAAUGGAGUGGAAGCUAAGCAAAUUCUAAACAAUCACUUGUAACUCUAUAGAAAACAAAGCUAGAGAUAUUACACAAUCAAGCAUGAAUGUAAGGCAUGAAAUACAAGAGAUAAGGCAUCACAAACACAAAGAUGUAUAGUGGUUCAGUGCACCCCAGCACCUACAUCCACUUCCCAAGACCUCUUGGGAAUUUCACUAUAAUUCCUCAGAU
rnacentral:lncRNA from 1 species